rnacentral:rRNA from 1 species
GGCCUUUUGAGUUUUAUAUAAGGUCUUGCCCGCCCCAUGAAUUUUUAAAUGGCCGCGGUAUUUUGACCGUGCAAAGGUAGCAUAAUCAUUAGUUUUUUAAUUGAAAGCUGGAAUGAAAGGUUGGAUAAGAAAAAUACUGUCUCUGAAAAAUCUUAUUAGAACUUUAUUUUUAAGUUAAAAAGCUUAAAUUUUAUUUAAAGACGAGAAGACCCUUUAGAAUUUUAUAAAAUUAUUUUAUUUUUUUUUUUAGAAUUUAUAAAUUUAAAUUUGGUGAUUUUAUUUGGUUGGGGUGAUUGAAAAAUUUAAUAAACUUUUUUUUUUAUUUUACAUUUAUUUAUGAAUAAAUGAUCCAUAAAUUAUGAUUAUAAGAAUAAAUUUCCUAUGGGAUAACAGCGUUAUUUUUUUUGAGAGUUCAAAUCGAAAAAAAAGAUUGCGACCUCGAUGUUGGAUUAAAAUUAAAUUAUGGUGCAGCAGCUAUACCUUUAGGCCGGUCCAACCUUUGAAAUUUUCCA